UGAACGCUGGCGGCGUGCCUAAUACAUGCAAGUCGAGCGAACAGACGAGGAGCUUGCUCCUCUGGCGUUAGCGGCGGACGGGUGAGUAACACGUGGAUAACCUACCUAUAAGACUGGGAUAACUUCGGGAAACCGGAGCUAAUACCGGAUAAUAUAUUGAACCGCAUGGUUCAAUAGUGAAAGACGGUUUUGCUGUCACUUAUAGAUGGAUCCGCGCCGCAUUAGCUAGUUGGUAAGGUAACGGCUUACCAAGGCAACGAUGCGUAGCCGACCUGAGAGGGUGAUCGGCCACACUGGAACUGAGACACGGUCCAGACCCCUACGGGAGGCAGCAGUAGGGAAUCUUCCGCAAUGGGCGAAAGCCUGACGGAGCAACGCCGCGUGAGUGAUGAAGGUCUUCGGAUCGUAAAACUCUGUUAUUAGGGAAGAACAAAUGUGUAAGUAACUAUGCACGUCUUGACGGUACCUAAUCAGAAAGCCACGGCUAACUACGUG
rnacentral:rRNA from 1 species